UACGAGGGGGGCAAGCGUUGUUCGGAAUUAUUGGGCGUAAAGGGUGCGUAGGCGGCUUGUUAAGUUCCGUGUGAAAUCCCCCAGGCUUAACCUGGGAAGUGCGCGGAAAACUGGCGAGCUUGAGUGCCGGAGAGGGUCGCGGAAUUCCCGGUGUAGAGGUGAAAUUCGUAGAUAUCGGGAGGAACACCAGUGGCGAAGGCGGCGAC
rnacentral:rRNA from 1 species